rnacentral:rRNA from 1 species
CAAUAGCAUAUAUUAAAGUUGUUGCAGUUAAAAAGCUCGUAGUUGGAUUUGUGGCGUACGGUGUGUUCCGGGCACUUGUUGUCUGAGUAACCUGCUGUUGCCAUCCUUGGGUGGAACCUGUGUGGCAUUAGGUUGUCGUGCAGGGGAUGCCCAUCAUUUACUGUGAAAAAAUUAGAGUGUUCAAAGCAGGCUUAUGCCGUUGAAUAUAUUAGCAUGGAAUAAUGAGAUAGGACUUUUUUGCUAUUUUGUUGGUUUGCGCAAAGAGGUAAUGAUUAAUAGGGACAGUUGGGGGUAUUCGUAUUCCAUUGUCAGAGGUGAAAUUCUUGGAUUUUUGGAAGACGAACUACUGCGAAAGCAUUUACCAAGGAUGUUUUCAUUAA